CCUACGGGUGACAGCAGUAAGGAAUCUUCCACAAUGGGCGAAAGCCUGAUGGAGCAACGCCGCGUGGGUGAAGAAGGUCUUCGGAUCGUAAAACCCUGUUGUUAGAGAAGAAAGUGCGUGAGAGUAACUGUUCACGUUUCGACGGUAUCUAACCAGAAAGCCAUGGCUAACUACGUGCCAGCAGCCGCGGUAAUACGUAGGGGGCAAGCGUUAUCCGGAUUUGUUUGGCGGGAAGGGAACGCGGGAGGUCUUGUCAGGGUGAUGUGAAAGCCUUCGGAUGAACCGCAGUAGUGCAUUGGAAACUGGGGGACUUGAGUGCAUAAGAGGAGAGUGGAAUUGCAUGUGUAGCGGUGAAAUGCGUAGAUAUAUGGAAGAACUCCAGUGGCGAAGGCGGCUCUCUGGUCUGUAACUGACGCUGAGGUUCGAAAGCGUGGGUAGCAAACAGGAUUAGAUACCCGGGUAGUC
rnacentral:rRNA from 1 species